GCUGUGUGUCUGCACCGAUAGCGUUCCGAAUUUUCCGCAUAGGGAAAAUGUUGAUUCGACGAUUGCCUUGGACGGCGAUUUGUUUUGCCGCAGCACUUCACUUCCGUUUCGGCGCUACCAAUGGACUUCCCAUUAGCAUUCGCAAGCAGCUUCCCUCUUCUCUCUUCUCCUUCUUCUGCUCCAGCUCCCUCUGCUACCUGUAAUUUCAUGUUCAUGCCAUGCCUAGGUUCAUUUCACUUUCGGUACAUAUUUAGUCUCUUGGCGCCACCAUAAGAGGCUGAGGAGUUGUGUACCAUUCCCUUCUUGUUGGGUCCACUCGUCCAAGUCCCAUUAACUUGGAUGUUGAACCACCUGAUUCCAAUACGAGUUAACAUAUAACUCGUACUAGACCUAAAAAGUGGAGACAUUAUACUUUCUUCGAGGCAUGACCUUGUGGCGACAGAAACAAUUAUAAUAUUCCUUGCAUCACUCACCCAAUUUGAAUUUCAAUUUUCAACUCGUAGGGUCACCAAAAGGAUACACCUCACUCGCACUCUCUGAAACCCGGUCUUUACCUCGUUGGAACACCAAUCGGAAAUCUCGAAGAUAUCACUCUGAGGGCUAUUCGCGUGCUGAACUCGGCUGACGUCAUACUCUCAGAGGACACGAGGCACUCGGGGAAGUUGCUUCAUCACUAUCACAUCAAAACACCCCUUCUCUUCAGAUGAGUUAUCACAAGUUCAAUGAAUCGCAAAGGGAACAGGUUGUGCUGAGGAGGUUGAAGCAGGGUGAGAUUGUGGCUCUCAUAAGUGAUGCUGGAAUGCCAGGCAUCAGUGAUCCCGGUAUGGAGUUGGCCAAACUGUGUGUGAGUGAGAAUAUCCUGGUUGUUCCAAUCCCUGGUCCCUGUGCUUUGGUAUCAGCUCUUUCUGCCUCGGGUUUAACUACUGAUGAAUUUACAUUUGUUGGUUUUCUUCCUAAACAUUCGGAAUUGAGAAGAAAAAGGCUCAUGGUUUCAGCUGAUCAAACUACAACUCAAAUAUUUUAUGUUGCUCCUCACAAGCUUUCUCAGUUCCUUGAUGAGAGUUCUUCAAUUUUUGGUGAUGCAAGGCAAUGUGUUAUUGCUCGGGAAAUGACUAAGUUACAUGAAGAGGGGUGAUGCUAAGGAUGUUUGAUUUUGCGUUUGUGGCUUUGAGUGUAGAAGCGGGCUUUAUGAAACUUAAUAGCAACCUAUCAGUAUGCUUUUGUUUUGUAGAAUUUUGUUAAUAGUUUGCUUAAUCAAUAUGCAUAAUUCUUGUUCUCAUAUGAUAUUUUUAUUUAACUACACCUACAUCCUUUUGUAGAGUAAACAUCGUGUUCUGACUAACGGCCCUUUUUCUUCUUUUUUUUGGGGUUGCACGCUCUUGAAUUCUAGCGGGAUGACACCUUGGAGGAAAAUGCUAGUAGAGUAAAAGCCAUUAAAUGCAUUAAGCCUGCUUAUGCAGUACCAUUACACGUAGUUGGUCGAAUGGAUCUUGCCGGUGCUGUCUUUUGGUUAGUAUAAAAGGUGAGGAGUGGAGAGGAGACAUCCCUACCAUUCGAGGAGUGGGUCCCUAUGGAAGAUCUUCUGACACCAGAAUCUCUCCAGUUGGAUGAUCAUGGCCAUCCAUUUUGUUUGCUUCUGGUCAAGAAAUAAUAAACGUGGCACUUCCUAGCUGGCUUUGAUGCAGAUUUUCAUCUGCUAUGUUGGCUACAAUACAACCCUCGUGUGUCUUCCAUGUCUUUCCACUACAUGCACCUCACUGUGCUUCUUGUUCUUUUCAUAUUUUUUAUUUUCACUUAAUUGGAUUAAGCAUUCUUAAUUUAAGUUAUCUAUAGCUAAUAUUUUAUUGAGAUGUAAAUUUUAAUUUAUAAAAAUAAAUUAAUUCAUUUUAGUUUU